ensembl:snRNA U6 U6 spliceosomal RNA
GUGCUCACUUUAGUAGCACAUUCACUAAAACUGGAACAACACAGAGAAUAUGAACAUUGCCCCUACACAUGAAUUACGUGCAAAUUCUUUAAACAUUUGAUAGUUUU